UAUUUUGGGUUUUUUUUGGUUUGAGUUUUUUUUUCCUGCCGUUGGGACUGGCAUUCCUCAUGACAUCCACCAGAGGUCGCCAACAGACAGAGCCCCUGGAAGGCUGCUGAGUUCAACCCGUUUACACACCUGCAGCUUGUUUUGGAGGGCGUGGAUUAUGGAUUUAAGCAGCAGCUCCUCUCCGUCUCAUCGCCUGAGUGUUUGCUUACUUCGAUAUCCUGCUGUUCUCUCGCGGUUCUGGCGAAGAGCAGUCCUCCCCGAGUUCAGUGUGCGCCUGUGCUCCCCUCGUUGUGGAUUCCCUACCUCCUGUGUCCUCCCUCGACGCUGUCGGUGCUACCGGUCAGAAGCCACCCCUCGUGUGUCCACCCUUUCCUCUCGUUGAUCCCUCUCUGGUGGAACCCCCCUCAUUCCAAGUAAGACAGACUCUGGAAUAUUCCCGAAGGAUUUUCUCCUCACUGCUCUGACCCUGCUUCUCCUGUUGGUAGCAAGACGACCCGGUCAUCAGCACCAGGAGUCGCGUCCUGACCCCUCCCCUGACUUCAAUAAACUGAUUAUUGUGCACUU